UGGGGAAUUUUGGACAAUGGGCGAAAGCCUGAUCCAGCAAUGCCGCGUGUGUGAAGAAGGCCUUCGGGUUGUAAAGCACUUUUGUCCGGAAAGAAAUCCUUGGCUCUAAUACAGUCGGGGGAUGACGGUACCGGAAGAAUAAGCACCGGCUAACUACGUGCCAGCAGCCGCGGUAAUACGUAGGGUGCAAGCGUUAAUCGGAAUUACUGGGCGUAAAGCGUGCGCAGGCGGUUUGCUAAGACCGAUGUGAAAUCCCCGGGCUCAACCUGGGAACUGCAUUGGUGACUGGCAGGCUAGAGUAUGGCAGAGGGGGGUAGAAUUCCACGUGUAGCAGUGAAAUGCGUAGAGAUGUGGAGGAAUACCGAUGGCGAAGGCAGCCCCCUGGGCCAAUACUGACGCUCAUGCACGAAAGCGUGGGGGAGCAAACAGGAUUAGAUACCCUGGUAGUCCACGCCCUAAACGAUGUCAACUAGUUGUUGGGAUUCAUUCCUUAGUAACGUAGCUAACGCGUGAAGUUGACCGCCUGGGGAAUACGGUCGCAAGAUU
rnacentral:rRNA from 1 species